rnacentral:rRNA from 1 species
GAUGAACGCUGGCGGCGUGCCUAAUACAUGCAAGUCGAGCGAACAGACGAGGAGCUUACUCCUCUGACGUUAGCGGCGGACGGGUGAGUAACACGUGGAUAACCUACCUAUAAGACUGGGAUAACUUCGGGAAACCGGAGCUAAUACCGGAUAACAUGUUGAACCGCAUGGUUCAACAGUGAAAGACGGUCUUGCUGUCACUUAUAGAUGGAUCCGGGUCGCAUUAGCUAGUUGGUAAGGUAACGGCUUACCAAGGCAACGAUGCGUAGCCGACCUGAGAGGGUGAUCGGCCACACUGGAACUGAGACAUGGUCCAGACUCCUACGGGAGGCAGCAGUAGGGAAUCUUCCGCAAUGGGCGAAAGCCUGACGGAGCAACGCCGCGUGAGUGAAGAAGGUCUUCGGAUCGUAAAACUCUGUUAUUAGGGAAGAACAAAUGUGUAAGUAACUAUGCACGUCUUGACGGUACCUAAUCAGAAAGCCACGGCUAACUACGUG